GCUCCUGUCACCUGGACCCUGACUCGAAAUCAAAGAAAGGAGCAAAGGUGAAGCAGUCACAUGGGUGUUUAUGAAAUCCUGGUGGUUCCUGUGUGUCUGCCUCGCUGAAGGACCCAGUAGCUGUUUGAAGAAGGGGAAAAGCUAAAGGUCGAGUCCACGGGUCCUCUUGAAGAUUCAUCUUCUCGUUCAAGCCAUCCAGCAACACCGCCCAGUCUUGUCAGGAUUUCCUGUCAAAAGCUUCGGGCAACAUCGAUACAUAACCACCAUUUACAGGAUUAAUAACUGAUGUCUCUAAGGCCUCCUGCUCUACAGAUUUGUGGAUCCUAUAUGUGGAUUGGGGUAAAGCAACCUGCCAUCCCAGUCACCAAAAAUAAAACUGAAACGAGAGAGAGUGGACGUUCUUCUGGGAAAAAGAAAGGAGAAGAUGCAGAUUGGACGAAAGUUGUCUCCCACUAGUACAGUGAAGCCCAUGUGUCCAUCCUGGCUUCCUGUCCUCCUCAGUUGCCAAUGGAGAAAAUGAAGCUUUAACUACCCACUCAAGCUUGCCAUCAGACUGAGAGUCGUGGCCUUCUAUGGAAUUCCAAAGACUAUUCAGUUGCCAAGAAUUAUACCUCUGGGAAAAGCUGAAACAACUGGAAGUGUGAGGAGAUGGUGGCAAGGAGGGCACCAAUUCUAUUGUAAAGGUCUCCAGUCUCUGACCAAGAUGGUGCCUCCAACUGCCAGCUUCAGCUGUGGUAUCCCACCAAAGACCCCAGUGAAGAAAAGGAAUCCCAUCCAUCCUUCAGGACAUGCUUCUCAUCCUGUCCAGGACCCUGAGUUUCUGAGACUCUUCAGAGGCAUCCUUCAGUGUAACUCAUCUUGCCUGCUGACCUGCUGCUGUGGAAAUCCGGGUCUGAAUGGCAGCCAGAAAACAAGACUGCUCACCCACCUGGGUUCUUGUGGCUUGAUGUGGGAGAGUCUUCUGUUUGUGUUGAUUUCAUUCAUUAAUAAAGAAACUGCCUUGGCCCAUUUAAUAGGCCAGCCCUUAGGUGGGUGGAAUAGACAGAACAGAAGGAAGAAAGUGAGGUAGAUUCUUCGGACAACUGCCAUGCAUCUUCUCUCUGGGUCAGACGCGAUGGAGCCAGCCGCCAGGUCAGACAUGCUGAAUCUUUCCUGGUAAGAUACCACUUGUGGUGGUACACGGAUUAUUAGAUAUGGGUUAGUCAA